AGGGCACCACCAGGAGUGGAGCCUGCGGCUUAAUUUGACUCAACACGGGAAAACUCACCCGGCCCGGACACCGUAAGGAUUGACAGAUUGAGAGCUCUUUCUUGAUUCGGUGGUUGGUGGUGCAUGGCCGUUCUUAGUUGGUGGAGCGAUUUGUCUGGUUUAUUCCGAUAACGAGCGAGACUCUAGCCUACUAAAUAGUGACCGGAUAGCUUGGUCCGGGUCACUUCUUAGAGGGACAAGCGGUGUUCAGCCGCAAUAAGUUGAGCAAUAACAGGUCUGUGAUGUCCUUAGAUGUCCGGGGCUGCACGCGCGCUACACUGGAGGAAUCAGCGUGCUUGACCCAUUGCCGAAAGGCAUUGGUAAACCCUUGAAAAUCCUCCGUGAUCGGGAUCGGGAAUUGCAAUUAUUUCCCUUGAACGAGGAAUUCCCAGUAAGUGUGAGUCAUCAGCUCACGUUGAUUACGUCCCUGCCCUUUGUACACACCGCCCGUCGCUGCCCGGGACUGAGCCGUUUCGAGAA
rnacentral:rRNA from 1 species